rnacentral:rRNA from 1 species
UACAGAGGGUGCAAGCGUUAAUCGGAAUUACUGGGCGUAAAGCGCACGUAGGCGGUUUUUUAAGUCAGAUGUGAAAGCCCCGGGCUCAACCUGGGAAUUGCAUUUGAAACUGGGGAACAAGAGUGUGUGAGAGGGGGGUAGAAUUCCAAGUGUAGCGGUGAAAUGCGUAGAGAUUUGGAGGAAUACCAGUGGCGAAGGCGGCCCCCUGGCACAACACUGACGCUCAGGUGCGAAAGCGUGGGGAGCAAACAGG